GACGAACGCUGGCGGCGUGCUUAACACAUGCAAGUCGAACGAUGAAGCUGGAGCUUGCUCCGGUGGAUUAGUGGCGAACGGGUGAGUAACACGUGAGCAAUCUGCCCUUCACUCUGGGAUAACUGCGGGAAACUGUAGCUAAUACCGGAUACGAGACCUUGGGGCAUCCCAGGGUCUGGAAAGAAUUUCGAUGAAGGAUGAGCUCGCGGCCUAUCAGCUAGUUGGUGAGGUAAUGGCUCACCAAGGCGACGACGGGUAGCCGGCCUGAGAGGGUGACCGGCCACACUGGGACUGAGACACGGCCCAGACUCCUACGGGAGGCAGCAGUGGGGAAUAUUGCACAAUGGGCGAAAGCCUGAUGCAGCAACGCCGCGUGAGGGAUGAAGGCCUUCGGGUUGUAAACCUCUUUUAGUAGGGAAGAAGCGCAAGUGACGGUACCUACAGAAAAAGCACCGGCUAACUACGUGCCAGCAGCCGCGGUAA
rnacentral:rRNA from 1 species